UUCCCUGAUUUCUCUCCCUCCCUCUUCUCUCUCCAUCCCCACCUCUCCUCCUCCUCUCUGCUCCCUUUCCCACGCGCCGCCAAGGAAAUCGCCGAGGACUCCAGCCCUGUACCCCGCGUGCCGAAGCCCCUGCAGCCUCCCCGCGUCCUCCACUCAUUCCUCUCUCUCCUCCCUUGCUCUCUCCCAGCGCUCGCCGCGACAGGAGCCAAGCGACCGCGCGACCCCGCGGUCGAGCGCCCUGCAGCGUCCGAGCUCGACCAGGCCGACAGCGCCCCAGCCGCGUCGCCCCUACCGAGCCACCCGCCCAAGGCCUCGACACGCCCGUGCCAGGAACCUGCGCGCCGAGCCCGACCCGACCGACCGCCCCGCGCCCACGCCCCGACCCGCGCUGCGCAGUAGCCGCGACCUCGCCCGAAGCCCGCGACAGAAACGCCCGUGCCCAGCCGUUCGUCUUCCUCUGCGUUAUUGGUGAUUCAAUGCGUCCGUUUUUCCCUCCCCAUUACUAUCCUCCAUGAGCCGACGCCGUUGAUGGGCGUUUGAAGACGCCGACCGCCCGUUUGCUCUCUCCCAAGCGCUCUACCUCCUCCUCGCUGGCCUAUAAAACCCACAGCCCGCGACGUUGUGCUCACCUCCGCGCUCGCCGCCUCGCCACACUUUCGUCGCGGUUAUCGGACGCAGCCAAAGCAUACCGCCUCCUCGCCAAGCUUCUCCACGCUAAAGCUCGUGCCCUCCUGCUGCUCGUCAGUCGAUUGCCGAUUGUCGUGCUCGCUCGACGUUGUCGUUGUACCCGUGCUGUUGUGCUCCUUCGCCGUCUCCGCGCCAAGCGUCGAUCCCACGCCGAACGCCGUUGCUGACCCUCGUUCGCCGAAGCUCGAUGUCAUCGAAUUUAUUCCUGAUGUUUCCUUCUACCUGUUGUCCUGGUGUGAGGUAGAAGACAUUUUUCUUAGACUACCUCUAAUGUACGUAGUAAAUAGAAUAGUUAUCCCUGCUGUGAUUUUCAUCCAUAUUUUCCUACCUAAAUAAAAUAGAAAUUUGUUUGAUUAA